GCGGAUGCAAGGCCACAUAAAUAGGAAACAUAAAUGAUGUCAAAAAAAAAAGGAAACAUAAAAGGUUUUGUACCAAAAAAGGUUAAGUACGUCUAAUGUGAUACAGAAUGUGGUCGGAAAACUCUGGAAGCUCAAAUUACAAUGAGAAGAUGGAAAAUUUACUAUUCACUGUCCAUUGAUUAAACAUCUAUCUACUUUUCUUACACCGGAUCCGAAGAACAAUGAUUUGCCUAAAUAAAUCGAGGCCUUAAAAAUAAAUGGAUAGAAAUGCAUAAAUUUUGUUUGAUUUCCUUAAUCUUAAACUAAAUUUUGAUUUGUGCGACCACGCUCAAAUAUAUAUCAAAUUUAUUUAUAAUUAAUUAUGUUACUAAUUUUAUAUAUUUAUGUGUGUACAUUUUAUUAGUAUUGUAAUGUAUGGUGAUAUAUGGUAAAAAAUUAUUAUGUUUUUGUGAUUUAUUUUUAUAAUCUAUCUUUUCUUAUUUAAAAUUAAAUAAAUUAAUAUUUAUUUUUUACUUGGUUAAUACUUAGCGAAGACGAUCCAGCGGUUUUGAAAGAGUUUCGGCUCCAGUAGAGAUCUUGGUUUGAAUUCGGCUGGCUACUGGAAGCAAAAUUUAACAUUUGGGUUCGUCCAAUGUUCGGUGACCGAGACGUAAUCUGACCGAUAACAUAAGCUGUUACGGAUACUCGCCGCUAAUCUGGAUUCACCUCGGUGAAGGCUAAGAUACAUUUGAUUAUCCAAAAAAAAAGGAUUAAUACUAAACAAGCA
rnacentral:lncRNA from 1 species